ensembl:processed_transcript D030046N08Rik RIKEN cDNA D030046N08 gene
AGUCCCAUGGGAUCACCGAAGGAUGGUGGCUUAAGGGGCGAGAUAGCGUAAGAAAGAUGUAUAUCCUCCAAACCUGGCCACUAGAACUGGAUGAUGGAGUGGCCGCUACGAUGUUGCAGCAUCGCAGGUGACGUGGACUCCGAGGACCCGGAGAAGGUGUCUGGAACCCGACCUGGACGCGCGACACUGGGCAAUGCGGCGGCGGGACCUACCAGCGCAGCCAGGAUGCGCCGGCUCUUCUCAUCCGUGCAGCGCUCGGAGAGGACGCUCGGGUGUGCGCGGAGCAGCAGCGCAGCUGCCAGCACCCAGCCGGCGGUCCACGCGGCGAAGGCGAGGAGCGCGCCCCGCCGCCAGCGCCCGCACCGUGCAGCCCGGCCCCGCGCGCCCGCCGCCCGCGCCAUUGCCAGCCCUGAGCUCCGGUCGCCGCUCCGCAGCUCCAGGGGCGGGAGGGGGAGGGGCGGCGGGAGGGGAAACCAGCCUGGGGCACCGCGUAGGAGUCGCAGCGCGGAGAUCUGCUCUCGGCUUCUGAAACCUACCCUCCCUGGCCACCUUUACACUUUCUUUUCCACUUUUCUUCCCUAAGACCAAGCCUCUCACUUCUCCGCAGGGCCUCACCACUUCCCUCGUUCCUAGACUGCCGCCCUCUGUCUAGCCACUAUACUUGCCCCUUCCCAGGACCCCACCGGACCCCCUCCAACCUUUAGGCUGCGGCUCUGUGCUCAUCCCCAUCCCCACCAAGUCUGACCUCAGCCUCGGAUCCCUCCCCACUUCCCGGGGUGACAUCUCCAGGUUUGGAGAGGAAGAAAUGGGGGCAGUGAGGGACCGUAGGGAACACCUGGACCGCCUCUUCCCAAGAGCGCGGGGCCACACUACAGCCUCCCAGAGUGCGCAGGACUUGAGGGCUUCCUUGUAGUAGUAAGGAGGAACGAGCUGUCUCCACUAACAUUGCCACAACAAAGGUUCACUAGUGCGUCUUCUUCUGCUUGGGGCUUUGUAGCUCCAUCCUUAAGCCCCUGCUCUCCAGACUAUUCUCUUCUAAAGAGGCCACAGUGGGUGGCACGCUCAGAGUCCUGAGAGGUACUGUCAGCUUUGAAGGGCGUUAAAAGGGACAGGGCCUCUGGCUCAGGCAUUCACCAGACAAAAACGCAGCAGGGUUGCUGCAGACCCCAUCUCAGAUGCCCUCCCGCGGCCCCCUGCCCGCCCUUCUCCAGCCUGCUUUCUCACCAUGAUUAAGCGGUCUCUAAUAACCUCUAGGGAACUGGUCCUAACAGUCUAUUCUGCAAGUCUCUGGUUCUGGAAUAGCCGCCUCCCAGAAAUUCUGGAGCAAAUUGAAUGCUCGGGAUGAAUUGUAGGACUCGUGGGAAGUUUCCAAAACUUAAUGAGGUUCAGGAGGCACCUCCCUGUGGCCGUGUAACUUCUGGGACAGAGGAGAAUAAGAUAAAGUUUAAAAAACAAUAAUUGUUAAAAUGUUUAUUUUGGUCUUGAGAUAUUAUAAUUAUGUCUUUUUCCCCUUUCCUUUCCUCCCACCAAACCCUCCCCUACUCUCUUUCAAAUAUAUGGCCUCUUUUUU